AUUGGUACCAUAACACUAGCAUUGACUUGUCUAUAUAAUGCAGUAAGUGCUACUUGUUGAGGUAGUUUGA
rnacentral:pre_miRNA from 1 species